UGGGGAAUAUUGGACAAUGGGCGCAAGCCUGAUCCAGCCAUGCCGCGUGAGUGAUGAAGGCCUUCGGGUUGUAAACCCCUUUCAGCAGGGACGAAGCGAAAGUGACGGUACCUGCAGAAGAAGCGCCGGCUAACUACGUGCCAGCAGCCGCGGUAACACGUAGGGCGCAAGCGUUGUCCGGAAUUAUUGGGCGUAAAGAGCUCGUAGGCGGUCUGUUGCGUCCGCUGUGAAAACUCGGGGCUUAACCCCGAGCCUGCAGUGGAUACGGGCAGACUAGAGGUAGGUAGGGGAGAAUGGAAUUCCCGGUGUAGCGGUGAAAUGCGCAGAUAUCGGGAGGAACACCGGUGGCGAAGGCGGUUCUCUGGGCCUUACCUGACGCUGAGGAGCGAAAGCGUGGGGAGCGAACAGGAUUAGAUACCCCCGUAGUCC
rnacentral:rRNA from 1 species